AUGGCGGCCAAGACCGCAGGCGUGGGGCACUGGUAGGUGGGGAAGAAGGGCCGGCGGCCUGGGGCCGGCGCCAGCGGCAGAGGCGGCGAGAACCGCCCGGCGCUCGGGGAAGCAAACGGAGUGUGGAAAUACGACCUGACUCCUCCAGUCCACACCACAAGCACCCUUUAUGAGCGGGGCUUUGAGAAUAUCAUGAAGCAGCAGAAUAAGGAGCAGGUCCCACCCCCUGCUGUGGAGCCUAAGAAACCAGGGAACAAGAAGUAGCCAAAGAAGGUGGCAACUCUUCCCAACCAAAACCAGAUUCCGCAGCCUGGAGGAAGCACUGAAAGCUCUGGAUGUGGCAGCCCUGCAGAAGGAACUGGACAAGAGUCAGAGCAUGUUCUCUGGAAACCCAUCCAUAUGGUUGAAGGACCUGGCCAGCUAUCUCAACUACAAGCUACAAGCUCCUCUAAGUGAACCCACGCUGAGCCAGCAUACUCAUGAUUAUCCCUAGAGCCUGGUGAGCCGGGAGCUGCGUGGGAUCAUCCGAGGGCUGCUGGCGAAGGCAGCAGGGUCUCUGGAGCUCUUUUUUGACCACUGUCUGUUCACCAUGCUGCAGGAGCUGGAUAAGACACCAGGGGAGUCACUACAUGGUUACCGCUUCUGUAUCCAGGCCAUCCUGCAAGACAAGCCCAAGAUUGCCACGGCAAACCUAGGCAAGUUCCUGGAACUACUGAGGUCCCACCAGAGCCCACCAGCAAAGUGUCCGACCAUUAUGUGGGCCCUGGGUCAAGCGGGUUUUGCCAACCUCACGGAGGGACUGAAAGUGUGACUGGGGAUCCUGCUGCCUGUGCUGGGCAUCAAGUCUCUGUCUCCCUUUGCCAUUACAUACCUGGAUCCGCUGCUCCUGAUGCAUCCCAGCCUUACCAAGGGCUUCGGCAUGAUUGGCCCCAAGGACUUCUUCCCACUUCUAGACUUUGCCUAUAUGCCGAACAACUCCCUGACACCCAGCCUGCAGGAGCAGCUAUGUCAGCUCUACCCCCAACUGAAGGUGCUGGGAUUUGGAGCAAAGCCGGAUUCCACCCCACAUACCUACUUCCCUUCUUUCCUGUCCAGAGCCACCCCUAGGUGUCCCCCUGAGAUGAAGAAAGAGCUCCUGAGCAGUCUGACCGAGUGCCUGACAGUGGACCCCCUCAGCGCCAGUGUCUGGAGGCAGCUGUACCCUAAGCACCUGUCACAGUCCAGCCUGCUGCUGGAGCACUUGCUCAGCUCCUGGGAGCAGAUUCCCAAGAAGGUACAGAAGUCUUUGCAAGAAACCAUUCAGUCCCUCAAGCUUACCAACCAGGAGCUGCUGAGGAAGGGCAACGGUAACAACCAAGAUGUUGUCACCUGUGACAUGGCCUGCAAGGGCCUGUUGCAGCAAGCUCAGGGUCCUCGGCUGCCCUGGACGCGGCUCCUCCUGUUGCUGCUGGUCUUCGCUGUAGGCUUCCUGUGCCAUGACCUCCUGUCACACAGCUCCUUCCAGGCCUCCCUUACUGGCCGGUUGCUUCGAACAUCUGGUUUCUUACCUGCCAGCCAACAAGCAUGUGCCAAGCUCUACUCCUACAGACUGCAAGGUUAUAGCUGACUGGAGAAGACACUGCCUGUCUGGGGCUCCCACCUGCUCACCAUGGUGCAGCCCAGCUUGCAGCUGGCCUGGGCUUACAUCAAUGCCACAGUCAGCUUCUUUUCUGCCCACUGUGCCUCUCACCUUGCCUGGUUUGGUGACAGCCUCACCAGCCUCUCUCAGAGGCUACAGAUCCAGCUCCCUGACUGCCUGAAUCAGCUGCUCCGCUAUCUGAGAGAGCUGCCCCUGCUUUUCUACCAGGAUGUGCUGCUGCCAUUGUGGCACCUCUUGCUUGAGGCCCUGGCCAGCGCCCACGAGCACUGCUAGGAGGCAUGCAGAGGUGAGGUGACCUGGGACUGCAUGAAGACACAGCUCAGUGAAGCUGUCCACUGGACCUGGCUCUGCCUACAGACAUCACAGUGGCUUUCUUGGACUGGGCACUUGCCCUGAUAUCCCAGCAGUAG